GCCUCCCUCUUUCUUCGUGCCUAAUACAUGCAAGUAGAACGCACAGUUUAUACCGUAGCUUGCUACACCAUAGACUGUGAGUUGCGAACGGGUGAGUAACGCGUAGGCAACCUGCCUGGUAGCGGGGGAUAACUAUUGGAAACGAUAGCUAAUACCGCAUAAUAUUAAUUAUUGCAUGAUAAUUAAUUGAAAGGUGCAAUUGCACCACUACCAGCUGGACCUGCGUUGUAUUAGCUAGUAGGUGAGGUAACGGCUCACCUAGGCGACGAUACAUAGCCGACCUGGGAGGGUGAUCGGCCACACUGGGACUGAGACACGGCCCAGACUCCUACGGGAGGCAGCAGUAGGGAAUCUUCGGCAAUGGACGAAAGGCUGACCGAGCAACGCCGCGUGAGUGAAGAAGGUUUUCGGAUCGUAAAGCCCUGUUGUAAGAGAAGAACGGGUGUGAGAGUGGAAAGUUCACACUGUGACGGUAUCUUACCAGAAAGGGACGGCUAACUACGUG
rnacentral:rRNA from 1 species